GGAACGAUGUUCGACAGCGCGCAACGAGCCAAUGACGGAUCGUGUCAACCGAUUCAUCCUUCAAAGGGGAUCGUUGGUCGCUUAUGAGACGCGACACCGAUCGCGUUCAAUCGUUUUCUUUCCCUGAAGCAUUAGAACUACCGGGAAGUUCUGUUCGUUUUAUGAUCUUUGAUAUUUUUCAGUCUUGUGCUUCAUGAUGAACAACGACCACUGCGUUGUGUUUGCUGAGAUACUUGGAUCACAGAUGGCUGUCCAGUGAGGAGUUCAACAAACUCUGAGCAUCUCUGAACAACCAUUCAUCCGAAUGAAAAUGUUAUUUCUUCGACGAGCACUGCGAGUAUCCAUGCAUCAGACGGAACAGAUGUGCACAGGGAUAUAUGCAAUCCCUGGAAGCGGAGCAAUUGCAUAUCGCCGCAAUCCACCGACGACACGAUGAAGAACUGAGUAUAUGCACCACCAUCUCUUUCACCCAUCAUCUCGAGCAGAAACACGCCUGCCGUUUAUGGACCCGUGAACAAUUUGAAAAACUUCCCGUACCGCUGUUACGUUCAAUCGAACCAUUCUAAAUAUUUUGCUUCCCCAACUCCUCCGAUUUUUUUUCCUUUAUUCAACUAACAGCAGUUCGUCGGAGAUUGCUAAAAAUCUCAAUCGAGGCUUCUCUCUCUUCGUGUGAUCUGGAUACAACG